rnacentral:rRNA from 1 species
UGAGGGAUAUUGGUCAAUGGACGAGAGUCUGAACCAGCCAAGUAGCGUGAAGGAUGACUGCCCUAUGGGUUGUAAACUUCUUUUAUAGGGGAAUAAAGUGAGCCACGUGUGGUUUUUUGUAUGUACCCUAUGAAUAAGGAUCGGCUAACUCCGUGCCAGCAGCCGCGGUAAUACGGAGGAUCCGAGCGUUAUCCGGAUUUAUUGGGUUUAAAGGGAGCGUAGGUGGACAUGUAAGUCAGUUGUGAAAGUUUGCGGCUCAACCGUAAAAUUGCAGUUGAUACUGUGUGUCUUGAGUACAGUAGAGGUGGGCGGAAUUCGUGGUGUAGCGGUGAAAUGCUUAGAUAUCACGAAGAACUCCGAUUGCGAAGGCAGCUCACUGGACUGUCACUGACACUGAGGCUCGAAAGUGUGGGUAUCAAACAGG